UACAGAGGGUGCAAGCGUUAAUCGGAGUUACUGGGCGUAAAGGGCGCGUAGGCGGUUAGAUAAGUGAGAUGUGAAAUCCCUGGGCUUAACCUAGGAACUGCAUCUCAUACUGUAUAGCUAGAGUAUUGUAGAGGGUAGUGGAAUUUCCGGUGUAGCGGUGAAAUGCGUAGAGAUCGGAAGGAACACCAGUGGCGAAGGCGGCUACCUGGACAAAUACUGACGCUGAGGCGCGAAAGCGUGGGGAGCAAACAGG
rnacentral:rRNA from 1 species